UGAGUAUCUACCCCUGGAGCCCUGGAGGGUCUCCCCAACCCUCCUCUGUGGGACCUUGUUCCUCAUCUCGUCUGACUUCCUCCUCCCGCCCAACUUCCCUACCCUCCGGCCAGUGUCCCCCGGGGAACUUUCCUAACAAAGCGCUUUCAACAAGCCCUCCUCCCCGGGUCGGUCUCAGAGGCAUCCAACCCAGACCCAGAGCAGUGCGCACGAGGCUGGAUAUUCCAGAAGCCGAGCUGAGCUGACGCCUCACCCCAGAAUCCCCCGCCCCCACCCAUCUCCAGGGUUCAAGGGCUCGAGCGCAUGUGAUUUAAAAUCACGGGGCGGGGCUGUUAAAACUACGAAUCCUACCCGAGCAGGUGUGCAUGGAGUUUCCAGACGCUGCGUGACCGGCAGUAUCGCAGCGGAUCGAGUGCAGGAGUCGACGCAAGCGUCUCUCUGCUCCCCAGGCACAAAUGAGCGAGAAUUGCAGAGAUGUGAACCAAUGCCCAGCUUCAAUUUGUGCGCGUGUUGGAAAGUACAGUGACCUUUCGAGGAAACGCGGUUUCUCUUGAA